AGCACCUGUAGGGUCCUCUCCUCCGGGAGCACGUGCUUGGAUGCCACAGUAUCCUGUGGAUCCACACAAUGGUGCAGUGUGCCCCAGGAGCUUGCAAAGCACCACUGCAUCAAUGAUUCCACAGGUCCCCACAUGAACAGAACCUAAAUAACACGCAAGAAACAACAGCAACGAGAACACUACCAGCAGCUUCUGAGAUGGGCAAGCUGAGCUGAUCAUGAGACACCUGACGGGGAUGGUGCCAGAACCCCUCUCCCAGUGACCUGUGAGGACGGCGCUGCCGGCAUCUCCCUAGAACCUGCCCAAGUCAAGUUAGACUCGAGGCUCCCAGGAGUGGGGCAGAUCCGUUCAAUCCCACAAUCUGAACAUUCUUCUAGGCCAUCUCAUGGCCCCCAUCUCAUAGAUGGGAACUGGGACACUGCACCAUAGACCCGGUCUUCUACACCACACACCAGUACAGUGAGCACUUACGGACUGGGUAUUCACAUAAAAUACUGCUUAACUAAAACUUCUGAUUUAGAAAAUGUUUAAUUCCUACUCACAGAGCUGAAAGUGCUCUGUCCUAGAAGGCAGCGGCUGCAAUUAAGCUUGAGAGAGGAAGAAGGGAUCAGAGUGGGGCCAAGUAUUUAAAUAUUCAACUAAAUCUAUUCACCACGUUGCCAUGCUCCUGUCACCUGCUUCGUUUUCCGUCCUUAAAAGACACAAAAGUGGAGUCUCACUCUGUCACCCAGGCCGGAGUGCAGUAUUGCGAUCAUGGCUCAUCGCGGCCUUGACUUUCUGGCUCAAGCAAUCCUCCUGCCUCAGCCUCCCAAGCAGCUGGGACCCACAGCAUGAAGUCUCCUCCACAGUCAGACAGCAGCCUGGUUUAGAGGAACGCUGCCCACGGGACCUUGGCAGACUCCCGAUGCCGGCCGACCAGACACCCCACCCUGGGACCCUGCCGGCAGCCCCGACUGAACAGAAGGGCGUCGUGAGCAUCCUUUCCCGCCAAAAGCUGCAGACCCUGAGCCAGUCUUGGCUGUUGACAGAGGCUGCACAUAAACGUCUGCGCCCAACAGCUCAUCUUUGGUCGUGACGCGCUGAGUCCACCUCAUUUCAAAUGUUACGCUCGCCCCAAGGUGAACACAGAUGUUACAGGUUAACUCACUGCGUGUGUGCUAGACUUUCCCUGUAAACAUUCAGACAUUCCACAAUCCCGAUGAGCACACACAGCGAACAAACCCCACUUUCCCUGUAAACGUUCAGACAUUCCACGAACCUGAUGAACACACACAGCGAACAAACUCCCGUGUGUUUAAAUGCCGCGGUCUCCUCCCCUCCUGAGGGGCGUGUGCUUACAGUUCCCCCAAGACCACAUUUCCCAAAGUAGACUGUUACUCUGAAAAUAAAACCUCCUUUUUCCUUCCUC